rnacentral:rRNA from 1 species
CAGCAGCCGCGGUAAUACGGAGGGGGCUAGCGUUGUUCGGAAUUACUGGGCGUAAAGCGUACGUAGGCGGCUUUGUAAGUUAGAGGUGAAAGCCUGGUGCUCAACACCAGAACUGCCUUUAAGACUGCAUCGCUUGAACGUCGGAGAGGUGAGUGGAAUUCCGAGUGUAGAGGUGAAAUUCGUAGAUAUUCGGAAGAACACCAGUGGCGAAGGCGGCUCACUGGACGACUGUUGACGCUGAGGUACGAAAGCGUGGGGAGCAAACAGGAUUAGAUACCCCAGUAGUCCCUGUCUCUUAUAC